UACGGAGGGAGCUAGCGUUGUUCGGAAUUACUGGGCGUAAAGCGCGCGUAGGCGGCUUUGUAAGUUAGAGGUGAAAGCCCGGAGCUCAACUCCGGAACUGCCUUUAAGACUGCAUCGCUUGAAUCCAGGAGAGGUGAGUGGAAUUCCGAGUGUAGAGGUGAAAUGCGUAGAGAUCCGGAGGAACACCAAAGGCGAAGGCAGUGUCCUGGGGAGUACCUGACGCUCAGGUGCGAAAGCCAGGGGAGCGAACGGG
rnacentral:rRNA from 1 species